rnacentral:rRNA from 1 species
ACGGGUGAGUAAUGCCUAGGAAUCUGCCUGGUAGUGGGGGAUAACGUUCGGAAACGGACGCUAAUACCGCAUACGUCCUACGGGAGAAAGCAGGGGACCUUAUGGCCUUGCGCUAUCAGAUGAGCCUAGGUCGGAUUAGCUAGUUGGUGAGGUAAUGGCUCACCAAGGCGACGAUCCGUAACUGGUCUGAGAGGAUGAUCAGUCACACUGGAGCUGAGACACGGUCCAGACUCCUACGGGAGGCAGCAGUGGGGAAUAUUGGACAAUGGGCGAAAGCCUGAUCCAGCCAUGCCGCGUGUGUGAAGAAGGUCUUCGGAUUGUAAAGCACUUUAAGUUGGGAGGAAGGGCAGUUACCUAAUACGUGAUUGUUUUGACGUUACCGACAGAAUAAGCACCGGCUAACUCUGUGCCAGCAGCCGCGGUAAUACAGAGGGUGCAAGCGUUAAUCGGAAUUACUGGGCGUAAAGCGCGCGUAGGUGGUUUGUUAAGUUGGAUGUGAAAUCCCCGGGCUCAACCUGGGAACUGCAUUCAAAACUGACUGACUAGAGUAUGGUAGAGGGUGGUGGAAUUUCCUGUGUAGCGGUG